rnacentral:rRNA from 1 species
AGCGUUGUUCGGAAUUACUGGGCGUAAAGCGCACGUAGGCGGAUCAGUCAGUUAGGGGUGAAAUCCCGGGGCUCAACCCCGGAACUGCCCUUAAUACUGCUGAUCUAGAGUUCGAGAGAGGUGAGUGGAAUUCCGAGUGUAG